AGAGUUUGAUCCUGGCUCAGGAUGAACGCUGGCGGCGUGCUUAACACAUGCAAGUCGAACGGGAAAUAUUUCAUUGAGACUUCGGUGGAUUUGAUCUAUUUCUAGUGGCGGACGGGUGAGUAACGCGUGGGUAACCUGCCUUAUACAGGGGGAUAACAGUCAGAAGUGGCUGCUAAUACCGCAUAAGCGCACAGAGCUGCAUGGCUCAGUGUGAAAAACUCCGGUGGUAUAAGAUGGACCCGCGUUGGAUUAGCUUGUUGGUGGGGUAACGGCCCACCAAGGCGACGAUCCAUAGCCGGCCUGAGAGGGUGAACGGCCACAUUGGGACUGAGACACGGCCCAGACUCCUACGGGAGGCAGCAGUGGGGAAUAUUGCACAAUGGGGGAAACCCUGAUGCAGCGACGCCGCGUGAAGGAAGAAGUAUCUCGGUAUGUAAACUUCUAUCAGCAGGGAAGAUAGUGACGGUACCUGACUAAGAAGCCCCGGCUAACUACGUGCCAGCAGCCGCGGUAAUACGUAGGGGGCAAGCGUUAUCCGGAUUUACUGGGUGUAAAGGGAGCGUAGACGGUGUGGCAAGUCUGAUGUGAAAGGCAUGGGCUCAACCUGUGGACUGCAUUGGAAACUGUCAUGCUUGAGUGCCGGAGGGGUAAGCGGAAUUCCUAGUGUAGCGGUGAAAUGCGUAGAUAUUAGGAGGAACACCAGUGGCGAAGGCGGCUUACUGGACGGUAACUGACGUUGAGGCUCGAAAGCGUGGGGAGCAAACCAGGAUUAGAUACCCUGGUAGUCCACGCCGUAAACGAUG
rnacentral:rRNA from 1 species